UCUGUUGGAAGUAAAACAUCCUAU
rnacentral:snRNA from 1 species